rnacentral:rRNA from 1 species
UACGAAGGGUGCAAGCGUUAGUCGGAAUUACUGGGCGUAAAGCGUGCGUAGGUGGUCUCUUAAGUCCGUUGUGAAAGCCCUGGGCUCAACCUGGGAACUGCAGUGGAUACUGAGAAGCUAGAGUGUGUCAGAGGAUGGUGGAAUUCCCGGUGUAGCGGUGAAAUGCGCAGAUAUCAGGAGGAACACCGGUGGCGAAGGCGGGUCUCUGGGCCGAUACUGACGCUGAGGAGCGAAAGCGUGGGGAGCGAACAGG